CUAAAAACAGUCUUCCAUCCAGUGAUCUUGGGGCUGCCAGAAACAGUGUUCUUCAGCCUCCAAAUGCCUGGGUAAAGAAAAAUGUUUCCAAUUUUUUCCUGAAAGUUAAUAAUGUUGGGGACAGGCACAUCACACUAGGGCAGGGAUUCUACAAAACAGGGGAACCACCACUGAGAAGACCCUGUCCUGGGCCAGCGCUAACUGGGCAGCCCCUGGGGGUGGCCCCACCACCAACAAGGUCUCACCUGUUAGGGAGGGUCCACUGUGGUUGGUACUGAAGAAGGCACUCGUUCAGGUAUUUGGGUCCCAAGCCAUUUAGGGCUUUGUAUGCUAGCACCUAUACUUUUAAUUGGGCCUGGCAGUUCACUGGCAGCCAGUGCAGGGCUUUCAGGACCAGUGGCACAAGGUCCCUUUAUGCUGCCCCUCUUAGCAACCUAGUAACUGCACUCUGCACUAGCUGCAGCCGCUGGACUGUCUUCAAGGGCAGCCCCGUAUAGAGCACAUUACAGUAGUCCAAGCAAAAAAAAUUAUCUAGAGCAUGGACAAUUGAGGCCAGGCUAUCCCGGUCCAGAAAUGGCCUCAGCUAGCCCCCUUGUCAUCACUGCCUCCCUCGUAUGUUUACUUAACAUGCCUCCAUUAGUUUCAAUAAGCAGAUUGCAAACUGUGCACAGAGGGGAACAAAUUAUCAAGGAUUUGCAAGCAAUUUGGAGGGUGGGGAAGUGUCUGCAAAGCUCCUCAAGGUCUUGCAAGCUUUUCACAGAGCCUGCUCCCAAAUCCCUGGCAGUUUUCAAAGUGAACGGACAAGGUUGUUCUCCUGUUCCUAACACACAAUUUGCUGGCCUGUAAAUCUGCGCUUCUAAAUUGGCCAGCAGGGUCCAGAGCAGGCCAUCCUGUCCCUCAUAAACCGAGGCACAAUCACACUACACUCUUAAACCUGCUUAUUUAUUGGAAUUGUUUAUAUAUCCAACCUUUCAGGAUACAGCUUUCUUCCAAGGCAGCUUGCAAGAAACAGUACACUACAUUUAAGACCACAACAAAGCAUUAUAACAAAUAUAUAAAUAAAAUAUUAAAGUACCAAAGAAAAAAGUCAUCAGUACCUUUCCCACAGGGCUGUUUCGGUAGCAUGGCUGGAGAAAAUUACAGCGCCCAAAAUUCUUUGGCUGGGGUGCUUUUAAUGUAUGAUGUGUAUGGAACUCCUCCCACUCUCCCCUAUGUGGCAAUGCUGAAGUAAGAAGCCUUUUAAAGAAGAUCAAGCCAGAUGGGUGCAGGAUAUGAACACCCUUCACACAUUUGCAGAUGUGCAGCUCUUUAAUGAGAUAUGGUGUUACAUCUGCCCAUUUUAUUGCACAAAAAUUAUCUUUGAUUGCAUCAGUUGGAAUGGAAAAAUUGGGACAUUGAAGCUAUGUAUGCAAACAUGUAGAUAAAAAGGUAAAGGACCCCUGGAUGGUUAAGUCCAGUCAGAGGCGACUUGGGGUUGCGGCGCUCAUCUUGCUUUCAGGCUGAGGGAGCAGGCAUUUGUCCACAGAUAGCUCUCCGGGUCAUGACUUCUGGCGCUACGGGACACCGUGAUGGAAACCAGAACGCACGGAAACACCGUUUACCUUCCCGCCACAGCGGUACCUAUUUAACUACUUGCACUGGCAUGCUUUAGAACUGCUAGGUUGGCAGGAGCUGGGACAGAGCAAUGGGAGCUCACCCCAUCAUGGGGAUUCGAACCGCCUACCUUCUGAUCAGCAAGCCCAAGAGGCUCAAUGGUUUAGACCACAGCACCGCCCGCAUCCCUAUGCAAACAUGUAGAACACGCUAGCUAGAGACUCCUCAGUUGGAUGGCCCCUGCACCUAGAAAAGACUACAGCCACUUGCAAAUCCAGCCCCACUUCCCACAAACUAUAACGGUGACAUCUCUGACUUCCUCCUGCACCACCCGCCACAGUUAAGAGAGUUGCAGCGCAGAGAUUUAGACAGGGCUGCACAUUUCUGUGCCGUGGCCUACAAACACGACCAGACAAGUUGUGGAAACAAAUCUCACAGCGCCCAGCAAAGCAUAAGCCGACAAGGGCUUGCCAGAGGACUGAGGAAGCGAUGAAGGGACUGACACGGACAAUAAUGUAUAAUGCAUGCAGGCGAGGGCAUGUGGAGGGAUUUCCAAGCCACCCUUGCAGGGGAGAGGCUGCCUUACAUUAAGCAGCACCAGCAGCUGU